GUGAGGAAUAUUGGUCAAUGGGCGCAAGCCUGAACCAGCCAUGCCGCGUGCAGGAAGAAGCAUCUAUGGUGUGUAAACUGCUUUUGUACGGGAAGAAACACUCCUACGUGUAGGAAUUUGACGGUACCGUAAGAAUAAGGAUCGGCUAACUCCGUGCCAGCAGCCGCGGUAAUACGGAGGAUCCAAGCGUUAUCCGGAAUCAUUGGGUUUAAAGGGUCCGUAGGCGGUUUAAUAAGUCAGUGGUGAAAGCCCAUCGCUUAACGAUGGAACGGCCAUUGAUACUGUUAGACUUGAAUUACUGGGAAGUAACUAGAAUAUGUAGUGUAGCGGUGAAAUGCUUAGAUAUUACAUGGAAUACCAAUUGCGAAGGCAGGUUACUACCAGUGGAUUGACGCUGAUGGACGAAAGCGUGGGGAGCGAACAGGAUUAGAAACCCGUGUAGUCC
rnacentral:rRNA from 1 species